rnacentral:lncRNA from 1 species
UUUAUUUUUUAUUUGUUUGUUUGUUUAGAGUUUUGUUUUGUUUUUGUUUUUAUUUUUUAUUUUUUUGAGGCAAGAGAUCACUGUGUAGCCCACACUGACUGGCCUUCAAAUUUGUGAUCCUCUAGCAUCUGUCACCCAGCUGCUUGGAUUACAGGUUGCACCACCAUACCCAGCUAAAAAUACAUCUUUUAGAAGUGCAUCUUCUUUGUCUGAAAAAUCAUGUAUCUAGCACCCACUGUAAGCAGAAACACUGGGUCACACUUCCUGUUCUCAUGGAGGACCUAAAAGGAGAGGCUUUCUCAAACCUAAUUCCAUUCUUAGAGGCACCACCCUUUGCCAGGCGCCCGCUUAGACACAUCUAAUCACCUUCCUGGAUAGUAGCCUACUCAAGGAAAUGUUACCAAGAACACAGUCCCCUUCUGGCCUCCGGCUGGCUCAUGAGCUUUGCUGUUUCUGUCACGUGCAUAUGAAUAAAGCCAACCAUCUGUUCUAGAAUUUCUU